AUUGAACGCUGGCGGCAGGCCUAACACAUGCAAGUCGAGCGGAUGAGUGGAGCUUGCUCCAUGAUUCAGCGGCGGACGGGUGAGUAAUGCCUAGGAAUCUGCCUGGUAGUGGGGGACAACGUUUCGAAAGGAACGCUAUACCGCAUACGUCCUACGGGAGAAAGCAGGGGACCUUCGGGCCUUGCGCUAUCAGAUGAGCCUAGGUCGGAUUAGCUAGUAGGUGAGGUAAUGGCUCACCUAGGCGACGAUCCGUAACUGGUCUGAGAGGAUGAUCAGUCACACUGGAACUGAGACACGGUCCAGACUCCUACGGGAGGCAGCAGUGGGGAAUAUUGGACAAUGGGCGAAAGCCUGAUCCAGCCAUGCCGCGUGUGUGAAGAAGGUCUUCGGAUUGUAAAGCACUUUAAGUUGGGAGGAAGGGCAGUAAGUUAAUACCUUGCUGUUUUGACGUUACCGACAGAAUAAGCACCGGCUAACUCUGUGCCAGCCGCCGCCGUAAAAC
rnacentral:rRNA from 1 species